UGAUCUUGGCAGUUUUGCUCCUGGCCGGCUCGUUAUUUGGCGGCACGUGUUUUCAUUUAGGGCCUGAUUUAAAACAAAAAUGAAAAUUGGUGCUCAACCCCCACCACGCCCUUAAACGGCGACACUCGAAAGGCGAGGAAGCAACAAGGCGACGUCAGUCAUCCAGAAGAGCCGCUCGUCCGUUGUGAAGAUGUGGGAACCGCUUCCUGCCCUUCAACCAGAGCGCUGAGGUUGCGGGGGCGCGCGGCCUUUGGAUUCGUCUGAUUUAGGAGGCAGGAGCAUUGGAGAACCAUAAAAAUAAUCCCUGCUAAAUCACUACAGAAAACGAGGGGGAGAAGAAAUGGAGAAGGACAAGUGGAAAGAUGACAAACAACCUUGAAGAAACACAGAUGGAACAUUCUCACCGAGCGAGCGUUCAACAUGGUUCUCUUCAAUGGUGGGGUAGAAACGCCAUUGACGUCCAACGGUGUCCAAACUGCAAAGCGAGCUGUCAGUUGGUUCGCUGCGGACUGUCAGCUCGCCGAUCACGUCCGGAAACUCCAACGCCCCCAAGACGCGCACGCGCGCACGCACACACACACCACCGCUCUUUCGGCAGAAACGAUCCCCCCCCCCCGGUCCCAAAAGUGGCCGCGAACGUUGUGCUCUCAACGCCGGACGCGAAGCCGCAACAUCCAUCCUGGCGGCCGAGGUGAUGACUUUGUAACGUGACCCAUCAUGUGAAAAGCCCCAAAGA